rnacentral:rRNA from 1 species
CUUAAAUUGAAGAGUUUGAUCAUGGCUCAGAUUGAACGCUGGCGGCAGGCCUAACACAUGCAAGUCGAGCGGAAACGAGUUAAA